AGAGUUUGAUCCUGGCUCAGAAUCAACGCUGGCGGCGCGCCUAACACAUGCAAGUCGAACGAGAAUAGGGAGCAAUCCCUUAGUAAAGUGGCGCACUGGUGAGUAACACGUGGAUAUCUACCUCUUGGUGGGGAAUAACCUGGGGAAACCUGGGCUAAUACCGCAUAAGUUCGUGAGAAGAAAGCCGAAAGGCGCCGAGAGAGGAGUCCGCGGUCGAUUAGCUAGUUGGCGGGGUAAAGGCCCACCAAGGCGAAGAUCGAUAGCCGGCCUGAGAGGGCACACGGCCACACUGGCACUGAAACACGGGCCAGACUCCUACGGGAGGCAGCAGUGGGGAAUCUUGCACAAUGGGGGAAACCCUGAUGCAGCGACGCCGCGUGAACGAUGAAGCCCUUCGGGGUGUAAAGUUCUUUCGGCAGGAACGAUUAUGACGGUACCUGCAGAAGAAGCUGCGGCUAACUACGUGCCAGCAGCCGCGGUAAU
rnacentral:rRNA from 1 species